CGAGUCUUAACUGGGCGAAUGAGUUGCAGGGUAUAGACCCGAAACCCGGUGAUCUAGCCAUGGGCAGGUUGAAGGUUGGGUAACACUAACUGGAGGACCGAACCGACUAAUGUUGAAAAAUUAGCGGAUGACUUGUGGCUGGGGGUGAAAGGCCAAUCAAACCGGGAGAUAGCUGGUUCUCCCCGAAAGCUAUUUAGGUAGCGCCUCGUGAACUCAUCUUCGGGGGUAGAGCACUGUUUCGACUAGGGGGUCAUCCCGACUUACCAACUCGAUGCAAACUACGAAUACCGAAGAAUGUUAUCACGGGAGACACACGGCGGGUGCUAACGUUCGUCGUGAAGAGGGAAACAACCCAGACCGCCAGCUAAGGUCCCAAAGUCAUAGUUAAGUGGGAAACGAAGUGGGAAGGCUCAGACAGCCAGGAUGUUGGCUUAGAAGCAGCCAUCAUUUAAAGAAAGCGUAAUAGCUCACUGGUCGAGUCGGCCUGCGCGGAAGAUGUAACGGGGCUAAACUAUGCACCGAAGCUGCGGCAGCGAUAUGUAAAUAUUGUUGGGUAGGGGAGCGUUCUGUAAGCCUGUGAAGGUGUACUGUGAGGUAUGCUGGAGGUAUCAGAAGUGCGAAUGCUGACAUAAGUAACGAUAAUGCGGGUGAAAAACCCGCACGCCGGAAGACCAAGGGUUCCUGUCCAACGUUAAUCGGGGCAGGGUGAGUCGACCCCUAAGGCGAGGCAGAAAUGCGUAGUCGAUGGGAAACGGGUUAAUAUUCCCGUACUGGUGAUAAUUGCGAUGGGGGGACGGAGAAGGCUAGGCUGGCCGGGCGACGGUUGUCCCGGUUUAAGGAUGUAGGCAGGUGAA
rnacentral:rRNA from 1 species